GCAGGAGUUAGAAGUAAAAGGCAAUCAAAAGUCCGGGAAAGUUAAUUGUGUCCCUUUUUAAGUAAGAAUCUUUAAGCCGUGGAUAGCUUUGGAUCUGGAAGCAAGCCAGAAAGCAUUUGUAUUAAUGCAAGUUUCUAACUAAUAAGGUAGAAGCCACUGAAAUCUAGGCUGCCUAUGAACAAAUACAAGGAAACAUUUUAAGCAAUGACUGACUGCCCAGAAGGGGUAGACCUCUGUUCUUUUGUUUUUCAGAUCAUCAGAGAAAACGGAUGCCAGCUGAACAGCAUUCAAUGUACCAUGCAUUUACUGGCACAAUAGGGAUUAUUUUUGUGUUUUAUGGCAAAAAUUGUUGUUAAAAAUUUGCAUACCAACAGUCUUUGGAAGCAAGGACAUGGAAGGUUAACCCACUCCCCAUAUUGCCCAUGGGAUCCUUCUGGCUACCUCAGAUUUCUAGCCAAAGGGCUGGGGAGGGAGGAAAGCAAUUAGACACCUGAGGUUGUACCAAGUGCACUCCUCAAAAGUCGGUGUGCUUGUCCCGGUUUGUUGCUCCAAAGCUCUGUAAUAAAGUUAUUUUACUGGAAGAGUGAAGGUUUCCUUUGUAGGUUAAAAGAAGCCGAGAAAGGGAGAAGAGGAAAAAGCACAGAAUGCGUUAAUUGAGAGGAAAAUACAGCUUGCAGGCUCAUCCAAGGCCACAGCCAAAACUUGGCUGACCCCCAAGACAAGGGGGGGCUUAAAUGUGCCCGAGCAACUAUGAGAUCUGCAAAACACUGCCAGGCAUUAAUGAAAUGUGUUAGGUUUCUUUUCUCACAGGUAGAAAAGUGCUACCCAAAGAUCCUAGCAGCCCUGCCAUUUAUUAAAACCAGGAGACUGAGUCUAUGUAAAGUCCAUCAACGAAAGACUGCUUUGGCUCCAUGCUGGAAAGGCUCUUUCCAAGUCCUGUUAACCACCAACACCGCUGUGAAGUGCCAAGGAUUGACUGCCUGGACCCAUGCUUUUCACUGCAAAAAGACCCCUCCACCUCGGGAGGACUCUUUGACUGAUGAUAAGCCUAUUUCUUCUUCUAGCCCUGCUGUGCCUUCUGGACAGCAGGAAAAAGGAAAAAAGACAAGGUGAAGUGCUAGUAACCUCUCCCUUGUCCACUGACAGACCUACUGUUGCUCUGAAUUUUUCCAGAAAAAGCAAAACCAUUACAGGGUGAUGUGCUAGUAACCUCUCCCCUGUAUGAUGCUAAACCACACUGUUUCAGGAAAAGAGAAGAAGGAACACUUGCUUCCUUGAAACCACAAAGUCCAGGAAUUCCUGACUACAAGAGACAUUAAGAACUGACCCUGGUGAAGAAACAAAAAAUUAUAACCUGGAAAAAAAGAAACUUGUGGGACCCAUGCUUGGGAACGUGGUGUUGAUUGGAUUUUGGGGUUUAUUCUACAGGCUGCGCCCUGUGUUUUGAAUAAGUCCUUCAGUAUGUAUUGCCCUCCCUAAUUGGAUUUUAAAUGAUAAGUACCAAAGGCACCUUGUUGCCAUUGCCCCUGCUAUCUCCUCUAUUACACUAUUACCCUUGUAACACAUCAAAAUACAGACAAUGACCCAGAAGUUGCUGACAGAGAUGGUAUUGAAUAUCACUGAGGCUGGGAAGGCAUUGCAGUGGGAUCUAGCAUGUUCAGGCUUGGCCCACUGCCCUUACAGACACAUCAGGAGUACCAUCUGAUCUGUGGCCAUAGAGACAUACUUAGAGACUUUCUAGGUAAAAGUGCAAACGUUCUCAAUGCUCCUUCCAAGCAUAUGGACCGGUUGAGGGGGUGUGGCCUUCCACAUACCGAAUCCUGCUGGGUCCAUGGGGAGGAUGCAUGUGGGAUUGAGUAAUUCACCAAGACAUCUGGGAAAUUAGACUACCUGGUAUGCCCAGUUAAUUUUAGUCAGUGCUCCUGGGAUUACACCUGACAGGACGCUUACUUUUUUUAAGUUAAUGACAGCUGUGUGUAUGUUAAUGACACCAUAUUACAAGACAUGCAAGGUCUGUUAAGUACCUGCCUUGUUCCUGUCUGCAAACCACCCAGCAACAUCUGGGGUGUGAGACAGUAAAAGAAAUGUGUUGUUUUAAGCUUACUGAUAAUAGUUUUGUAUGUAAUAGCAAAUUGAUAUGCUGAAAUGUUAUGUUUAAGCUAUCCGCUAGGACGUUUUUCCUCCUUGGUGGGAUUAUAUCUAGUCAUAGCCACCCUUAGAGUGGAUAAAGACCCUUUUAUAGUAUGGGGUCCUAGUUUUGAUUUUUGAUGUUUUACUUUGCUGCUUUGUUUAAUGUUUACCCAAUCUAGUGACAUUGUGCAUGCUACCCUGCGAGAGUGUUUUGUUUAAACACUGCAUCUAUAAAAUAAAACAGGGGGGGAUGUAGGGAUGCAUAGCUCCCGAAUCGCCAGUCCACAGGCGCGGCAAACUGCUCCCAUGGCUACGAGGCAGGAGUGACCUUCAAUCCAGCGUUUGUGUUUGGGAAACUUAUUUGGCUGAUUUGAUUGUACCCUCGCAGCUGGUGUUCACGCGCUCAAGAGAUGGGUUCGUUAUCUUAUGUGCAUGUAUACUGCCUGGCGUUUCUAUGUGCAGGAAUGUAACCACUAAGAAGAGUUGUAAACAAAGCAAGGAGAGAAAUAAAAACCCCAGGAAAAGUUUUCCUGGGAGGCUUUUUGCAAGAGGCUUGUAAAGCUCUCUGGCUACCAACAAACCUGGCGUUCUGUUUCCUGCGUCGUCACCACAAGGGGAGGCAACGGCAGACAGUUGGGAGCUGCAGGAAGAGCUGCUGCUUUUGCUGCUUUCUCUCCAAGCAGAGUGAAAGUAGCGGCCAGUCCCUACAGCUCCCAGCUAUUUGCCGCCGCCUCUCCACGCAGAGCUAACAACUGAGAGCUGCAGGGAGGGGCCACUGAGAGUAAGAGGGAGAGAAAAGCAGAGACCGUGAGGAGAGAGAAGGCAAAAAUCACUAUAGAGAAAUGAAGAAGAAUAAAAAAAGGAAGAGCAGCAGACAAGGGAAUAAGGAAAUGGAAAAGGGAAAAUAAAAGGUUCCAGUCAAGCAGGGCCGGCUCCAGCAUUUUUGCCACCCCAAGUGGCAAAAAAAACCCUGAGAGGGACUGAGGGACCUGCUGCUGAAGAGCCGGACGUGCCGCCCCUCUCCGUUGGCUGCCCCAAACACCCGCUUGCUGCGCUAGUACCUGGAGCCGGCCCUGCAGUCAAGAUUACUGUAAAGUAGCUUUAAAACUGAACAAGUUACUGUUGUUAACUAAGAUUAUAGAACACUGUACAUGUGCUAUCAUAGUUAAUUGUUUCACGCUGCCUUUCAAGUUCUAGGUGUACAUAGGCAUAAAAUGAGAUCAAGUAUGCAUGCUUUUUGACUUGCACUCACUCUAAACAGUACGUCAUAAGAAUUUUAUGUUAGGGCUGGUCUAGAAACUAGAUCAAUUUACCUAUGUUGCUCAGGGCUGUGAACAUUUUUGUGCCCUAUUCACCAUAAUUAGGUCAACCCACCCCUGGUAUAGACGUAGCUAGAUCGAUAACAGAAGAAUUUACCCAAUUUACCCACUCCCUCUUGGAGAGAUGGAUUAAGUAAAUCAUCCAAAACCCCCUUCUGACGAUGUAGGAAGAGUCUAUGCUAUGGCACUACAGUGGCACAGCUGCAGCACCAUAGCUGUGCCAGUGUAGCAUCAGUAGUAUAGACGUGCCUUUAGAUAGAUAGGAGUAUUUGUCAGAUCCCGGCUAAUAUUAUUCACCGGGAAAUAAGUUAAAAGGGUUGACUAAUAUAGAUCCUUUGGAAAGGAUACCUUGAUGAAUUGGCAUGCAACUAAUUGACCACAUUAUUUUGUGAUCUAGCUUUGGCUUGUUUUCUGUCUGUUGUGUUAGCAACACUGGAGUUGAUAAAAUGAGGCCCUAUUCUGAGGGACUCUGUCAAAAAACUGAACAAAGUUACAUUCCCUAGAUAGCUACUGAGUGUAAGUGUUAUUUUCAAUUGUGGUUGUGUGAUUUGAUUCCAAAAACAUGAACAAUUAUAUUGACCAGCUUUCUAAUUUAUGCAGCCAAACCAUAGUCCAAUACAAUGUUUGUCUUUUAUAUUCUAUACUACUACUGUUAAGGAUAGUGAACAAAGCUUUGUGAAACUAAAUUCAACUCCAGUCCUUUUCUUUAAUCAAACAACUGAAAUUAAAAGAACCCUAAAAAAAGAUGUUACAAGUAAUCAGUUAAGCAGUUGCUUAACUAAGCUUGGUUUUAUACCCGAUCUUUCUGACAAAGCACUCUGGCCAAAAGCUCCAGAGGAUAAGGUGCUCUCUGCUCUCAUCUUUUGGUGAACUGGGGAAAGAAUAGUCACAGAGGUGCUUCAUCUCUGUAAGUUAGUUACCCAGAACUUCAGAUGGACAGGAGUGCCAAAGGAGCAGGAGAUCUCUUCCCCAUCUAUUGGUGAACAAAUGGAAGUAUGGCUACAUAGAGCUUUAUUUGCAUAAGCUUUCUGUCCUGGAUUCCUCUGGUGACAUAACUGUACACAAACUCAGAAUUGGUUGGGUAGUGGAAUCGAACUGAGAGAUUGAAAGAGUUCUUAUCUUGGGGCAAGGACUCUGCUCCAGGGUCCUUAUAUGUUGCUGGUUCUUUUCUGCUGAAGAUCCUGUGCCAUGGGGAGGACUCUUCAGCAGGAGAUGAGGCAGAAAUGUCUCUUUGCUGAAGCUUUAGAGCUUCAGAACUGAGUUAACUCUGGUAAUGUUCCUUCUGUCUAGCCACUAAAUGAGGCUGAAAUAUCUAUGGUUGGCUUAAGAGGUGGAGCCUCAGGACAGGACCAGGCAGCACUUUCCAAAAAAUUGAAGACAGUUGUGCCUGAGAUGUUAACUUCACCCUAGUUAUUUGGGGCAUUCAGAACAUAAUGCUACAGUUUGAUUUAGAAAAUAAGUUUUUUCUGGCUUGUGCUGCCUCAUCCUAUUCUGCAGGACAGAGCAAGGGUAAAGCUAGGUCUUCCACCUGCUGCCUGCUACUUCAUUUAGCUGCUGUUGUCAAUUCCAAUGCAGUGGGAGGCUUCCCUGCACACUGGUGUCUGCUGCUGCUGCCACCUAACACAGGCCCUUGAGAAUGUCACUUGUAAGAGGAAAGAAGAAUAAGACUCUGAAGGUGAGGGUUGGUUGUACUACAGGUUACAAUGAGUUUUGCAGCUGAUAUGAAUUUUGGUUUAAAUAUAUCCACGUGAUGAGGGAUGAACAUUUUUUCAGGUUAAGGAAACCCACAAUCCAUAGAAUGAACAAAUAAAAAUCUCCAUGAGAGAGUAUAUAAUGUGCUACUCAGAAUUAAGGAAUCUCUUCACAUUAAAAUGGUUAAUAUAAUACAAUGAAAACAGAAUUUCUUAACAUCUUCCUUAAUUGUACAUAGCUGCAUACACCAUGGGAUAUCUUUGUGUUACUGUGUGGUUUCUUGAAGUGGAUAUCAAUUGGUGUCAUUCUCAUAGAUUUUCUUGAGGAUUUUUGUUUGGGGAAGAUUCCUUCUACCUCCUGCAAUUUUUUGACUCAUGGACUGAUUUGGACCAUCUGUCUUUUUUAUUUUAAUUGAUCUUUGCAGGAGAGUUCUGAUGGCCCAAAAAGAGAAGUGAUGAAUACUUAAAAGGAGACUCAGGAGCAGAGAGUUAGGGGCAAGUGAUUUUUAUUUUAUUUCUAUUUGUGAACCGGAGGUGGAAGUUGCUCAGAAUUUAGACUUCAUGUCCUUCCCAUAACAGAUAUCUUCUAAAAAUAGUCACAUGGUAAAGGAUUCUGAGAGUCCCGAUUUCAAAUGGGACUUGGUGUUAUUCCAUUGCUUCAGACUAUUAAAGGUCUUGCAGUAAAGUUGGAAUCUAAAAUAG